AGAAUGUGAAUCUCCACCUUGAAGCAAUAUGACACUACAACGAUCUCAUCUGCAGGAGCAGAGGGGAUGGAGAGCCGGGAAUUUUGCAAGUAAACCUGAAAGGCACUUUUCCAGUGUUGCAACACCUUCCCCAGCAUUCAAAGACUAGCCGCACCUUUUAGUUGGAAAGAAGAGGAGAGAUCUUAUGAUUCCAAAGCAGCAGGAGACAUAUGCCCUUGGUUUCAUCUACAUCCUUAAAGGGCCACUUAUUUUGUACCUUGUCAUAAAUAUAAAGGGAAGAGUAAACACCUUUAAAUCCCUCCUGGCCAGAGGAAAAACCCUUUCACCUGUAAAGGGUUAAGAAGCUAGGAUAACCUCGUUGGCAGCUGACCAAAAUGACCAAUGAGGAGACAAUAUACUUUCAAAGCUGGAGGGAGGGAAAAACAAAGGGUCUCUCUGUCUGUGUGAUGCUUUUGCCAGGAACAGAAAAGGAAUGGAGUCUUAGAACUUAGUAAGUAAUCUAGCUAGAUAUGCGUUAUAUUCUGUUUUGUUUAAAUGGCUGAGAAAAUAAGCUAUGCUGAAUGGAAUGUAUAUUCCUGGUUUUGUGUCUUUUUGUAACUUAAGGUUUUGCCUAGAGGGAUUCUCUACGUUUCGAAUCUGAUUACCCUGUAAGGUAUUUACCAUCUUGAUAUUACAGAGGUGAUUCUUUUACUUUUUUUCUUCAAUUAAAAUUCUUCUUUUAAGAA